AGUGGGAGGCACUUCAGCAGACACAGGCCCAGCACACUCUUGGAAGUGUUCACAUCUGCUAGAUUCUAGAUCCAAGUCCUGUCUUCACUGGCUUCAAGAGGGGAGAGUUCAUUACCGGGAUGAAGGAGGCUCGUUUGUGGAGAUCAAAUCAAAGAGAGUUAGUCUGCCUAACUGAAGACCUCUACUGAAGAAAGUCUAGCUAACCACCUUUAAGUAUUAACUUCUCAAGGACCCAGGAAAAGGUACCUCAGUGAACCUGAAGAAGGGCCAACAGGCAGGCGAGAGUAGAGACUUUGGUCAGCGGUCUGAACUUCUGCCUGUCCACGAGACUUGGAAACAAAAGUCCCCAAACCCUGGAGCGUUGAUGGGAGAUUGUGGGGUGGGGUGGGGGAGCAGGGUGGGUACUAGGACGACGUGAAUGAGGCCAUCCUGAGAGCGAGCACCUCCUUACAUGUGACACUCUAGGUGCUUCCUGGACCUGCUCAAAAAAUGUUGGUUCUCCAGCCUUCCUUCCCAAGUUCAGUUCUACAAAUACUUCUUGAGGGCCUACCUUGUGCCAAGAGCUGUGCUGGGCAUUGGAGAUUCAUACUGAACACCAGAGGCUUCCGGCUAUGACCCCUGCUCCAAUCAUAGACCUCUCUGCUUUCCUUAUUCUGGGUCCCUCUACCUUGGGAGGACAUAGGAUCUUGGGGUCACUAAUUUGCUGCUGGGUGGCCUGGGGUGAGUUGAUUCACUCUCUGAAGCUCGUCUUCCUCAGCUGGAAGAAGAGGCUUGGACUCCUGCCUCAUAGAGUUGAAAGGAUUGAACAUCACAGUGUCUUUACGCUUGCCCAAAAGCUUAUAUACGGAAACUAUAAAGGGGGAAGCGACCACACCCCACUGUUUACCUUCUAGCUCAUAAAGUCUGCUUUUUCAGUGCUUACAGGGUUCCGUGGAUCUCAGAGUGGAAAACACUGCUUUAGGGUAGAAGCAGCUGUCAGCAGUCUUUGAGAAGUGAAUGGUUUCUAUUUCAGAAAGAAACUUUAGGCACUUGGGAGGAACAUGCCAGUGGUGAGAGACUAGGUACAAGGCAACCUGUAACCAGGUUGUUAAAUCUUCCAGGCAAAAGAAAAUAAGGAUCAGAAUUAAGGCGCUGAAGAUGUAAAGGAGAGGAUGGAAUUCAAGAUACUUAGCAGGUAGAUAGAUGGAUAGUCUGUGACAAUAUGGAGGGUGAAUGAGAAAAAAGAUUUGAGGGCGACUCCCUAGUUUCUAGUUGAGAAGCUUGGAAGUGAAGAGAAAUGUUGGGUAGAAGAUGAGAAAAAUAAUUUAAUUUAGGACGUGAUGUAAUAGAUAUAAGACGUGUAGAUAGAGCUUCUCAACUCAGCCAAGAAUGAGAGAUACUAAUCUACAGCUCAAGACACACGUGAAUAUAACUGUAUCUUUCUAUAUCGCUUCAGAUGACUCUUUAUUAUCUAGCGGUGUCUUAGGGGUCAUCAUAAUGAGGUGUUGCUUGACCAUAAAUGUAUAGGAAUGCAGGUUAGAGAGAGCUGUGUUUAAAAGAAAGCCAAAUGCAAUUUAUUUGUGAGCUGUAUUUAUUGAGAUACUACCAUGUGCCUUGCACAGCAACAGUGCACAAGGAAAAAACGGGCAAACAAAAAAUAAAGGUAAAUAAAUAAAUAAGGGAAAAAGAAAAUCCUUU